rnacentral:rRNA from 1 species
GACGAACGCUGGCGGCGUGCUUAACACAUGCAAGUCGAACGGAAAGGCCCUGCUUUUGUGGGAUGCUCGAGUGGCGAACGGGUGAGUAACACGUGAGUAACCUGCCCUUGACUUUGGGAUAACUUCAGGAAACUGGGGCUAAUACCGGAUAUGAGCUCCUUCUGCAUGGUGGGGAUUGGAAAGUUGCGGCGGUUGGGGAUGGACGCGCGGCUUAUCAGCUUGUUGGUGGGGUAGUGGCUUACCACGGCGUGGACGGGUAGCCGGCCUGAGAGGGUGACCGGGCACAGUGGGACUGAGAUAGGGGCCAGACGGCUACGGGAGGCAGCAGCGGAGAACAGAGCACAAUGGGCCGAAUCCGUAUGCAGCAACUCCGGGUGGUGGAUGACUGUUUUCGGGGUGUAAACCGCUUUCGCCUGUGACGAAGCGUGAGUGACGGUAACGGGUAAAGAAGCAACGGCUAACUACGUG